rnacentral:rRNA from 1 species
GAACGCUGGCGGCAGGCCUAACACAUGCAAGUCGAACGCCCCGCAAGGGGAGUGGCAGACGGGUGAGUAACACGUGGGAACCUUCCCUAUAGUACGGAAUAGCCCAGGGAAACUUGGAGUAAUACCGUAUACGCCCGAGAGGGGAAAGAUUUAUCGCUAUAGGAUGGGCCCGCGUAGGAUUAGCUAGUUGGUGAGGUAAUGGCUCACCAAGGCGACGA